GACGAACGCUGGCGGCGUGCUUAACACAUGCAAGUCGAGCGGUAAGGCCCUUUCGGGGGUACACGAGCGGCGAACGGGUGAGUAACACGUGGGUGACCUGCCCUCAGCUCUGGGAUAAGCCUGGGAAACCGGGUCUAAUACCGGAUAUGACUCCAUGACGCAUGUUGUGGGGUGGAAAGCCUUGUGCGGCUGAGGAUGGGCCCGCGGCCUAUCAGCUUGUUGGUGGGGUGAUGGCCUACCAAGGCGACGACGGGUAGCCGGCCUGAGAGGGCGGCCGGCCACACUGGGACUGAGACACGGCCCAGACUCCUACGGGAGGCAGCAGUGGGGAAUCUUGCGCAAUGGGCGAAAGCCUGACGCAGCGACGCCGCGUGAGGGAUGACGGCCUU
rnacentral:rRNA from 1 species